GACGUAGGGCGCGAGCGUUGUCCGGAUUUAUUGGGCGUAAAGAGCUCGUAGGCGGCUUGUUGCGUCGACCGUGAAAACCCGGGGCUCAACUUCGGGCUUGCGGUCGAUACGGGCGGGCUAGAGUUCGGUAGGGGAGACUGGAAUUCCUGGUGUAGCGGUGAAAUGCGCAGAUAUCAGGAGGAACACCGGUGGCGAAGGCGGGUCUCUGGGCCGUAACUGACGCUGAGGAGCGAAAGCAUGGGUAGCGAACAGG
rnacentral:rRNA from 1 species